CUCCGGCGGGUCGCGCGCGCGGGCUGGGGGCCGAUCCCGGUCCCCGCAGGCGAGGCAGCCCGCUUCGCAGCCGCUCCUUGGCGCCCUAAAACAAGUAGCCCCAACGUGAGAGAAACAAAAGGUCCCACUCAAAAUUGGCAGUCCUUUGGGUUACUUGGUAAAUGGAUCAGAGCAGGACCACAAUGUGCUACACGUUGCCUCUGAAAUUCAUACUCCUACAAGUGUGCUUCCUAAUGGUCCUAUUGCUACGAUGUCAUCAUUGAAGAAGCAGGCAUCUUGUAUGAGUGACCUCACUGCCCAGUGUAACUGGUUGUAGAGAAGUCUCAGUGGAAGGCUGGCCAGACCACCAGCCAGCAAUGGUGGUGCCUGUGGUUGGGCUCCAGUAUCCAGAACUAUGAAGGAAAAAGCAUAACUUUACAGUGGAGAAAUUUGUCAGACAGCAUUUUAACCAACGAUCAAAGUGAACAUCAUCAGUAUUUGAGGCAGGCUGACAAGCUGAAAUUGGGUGCCACCUGAUAUGAUGCACUGAGAAGAACGCAGCGCCGCUCUUGCGAUGGUGAUGCAUAACCCGAAUCUGGUCAAGAUGAAACAAAUAGAGGGAGAGUCUGCAAAUUAGCUGGCCCGUCCCCCGACGCCCCAUUGGGCGGGCCGCCCGUCACUCGCCG
rnacentral:lncRNA from 1 species